rnacentral:rRNA from 1 species
GGGGAAUUUUGGACAAUGGGGGCAACCCUGAUCCAGCCAUUCCGCGUGAGUGAAGAAGGCCUUCGGGUUGUAAAGCUCUUUCAGCUGGAACGAAACGGUGCGCUCUAACAUAGCGUGCUAAUGACGGUACCAGCAGAAGAAGCACCGGCUAACUACGUGCCAGCAGCCGCGGUAAUACGUAGGGUGCGAGCGUUAAUCGGAAUUACUGGGCGUAAAGCGUGCGCAGGCGGAUUGUUAAGCAAGACGUGAAAUCCCCGGGCUUAACCUGGGAAUGGCGUUUUGAACUGGCAGUCUAGAGUGCGUCAGAGGGGGGUGGAAUUCCACGUGUAGCAGUGAAAUGCGUAGAGAUGUGGAGGAACACCGAUGGCGAAGGCAGCCCCCUGGGAUGACACUGACGCUCAUGUACGAAAGCGUGGGUAGCAAAC